GCCUUCGUGGUGUAACGGUAGCACACUCGGCGCGUAUUCGAGAGAUCCAGGUUCGAGUCCUGGCGAGGGCA
rnacentral:tRNA from 1 species